AUGGGUGUGAUGAUUAUUUCCCCAAAUGAUCGAAGCUGAUUAAACCGUGCGAUUUUUCUCUCUUAAUUGUUGAGAAUCCAAGCCAGUCCUCUGAUCCAU